rnacentral:rRNA from 1 species
GGAUUAGAUACCCUGGUAGUCCACGCCGUAAACGAUGUCAACUAGCCGUUGGUAGGGUUACCUAUUAGUGGCGAAGCUAACGCGAUAAGUUGACCGCCUGGGGAGUACGGUCGCAAGAUUAAAACUCAAAGGAAUUGACGGGGGCCCGCACAAGCGGUGGAGCAUGUGGUUUAAUUCGAUGCAACGCGAAGAACCUUACCUACCCUUGACAUUGACAGAACCUUGUAGAGAUACGAGGGUGCCUUCGGGCCUGGAAAACAGGUGCUGCAUGGCUGUCGUCAGCUCGUGUCG